rnacentral:rRNA from 1 species
UACAGAGGGGGCAAGCGUUGUUCGGAAUUACUGGGCGUAAAGGGCGCGUAGGCGGCCUUCUAAGUCGAACGUGAAAUCCCCGGGCUCAACCCGGGAACUGCGUCCGAUACUGGAAGGCUUGAAUCCGGGAGAGGGAUGCGGAAUUCCAGGUGUAGCGGUGAAAUGCGUAGAUAUCUGGAGGAACACCGGUGGCGAAGGCGGCAUCCUGGACCGGUAUUGACGCUGGGGCGCGAAAGCCAGGGGAGCAAACGGG